rnacentral:rRNA from 1 species
CAGUCGAGGGGCAGCAUCAUCAAAGCUUGCUUUGAUGGAUGGCGACCGGCGCACGGGUGAGUAACACGUAUCCAACCUGCCGACAACACUGGGAUAGCCUUUCGAAAGAAAGAUUAAUACCGGAUGGCAUAAUUAUUCCGCAUGGGAUAAUUAUUAAAGAAUUUCGGUUGUCGAUGGGGAUGCGUUCCAUUAGGCAGUUGGCGGGGUAACGGCCCACCAAACCUACGAUGGAUAGGGGUUCUGAGAGGAAGGUCCCCCACAUUGGAACUGAGACACGGUCCAAACUCCUACGGGAGGCAGCAGUGAGGAAUAUUGGUCAAUGGACGAGAGUCUGAACCAGCCAAGUAGCGUGAAGGAUGACCGCCCUAUGGGUUGUAAACUUCUUUUAUACGGGAAUAAAGUGAGCCACGUGUGGCUUUUUGUAUGUACCGUAUGAAUAAGGAUCGGCUAACUCCGUGCCAGCAGCCGCGGUAAUACGGAGGAUUCGAGCGUUAUCCGGAUUUAUUGGGUUUAAAGGGAGCGUAGGCGGGUUGUUAAGUCAGUUGUGAAAGUUUGCGGCUCAACCGUAAAAUUGCAGUUGAUACUGGCGACCUUGAGUGCAACAGAGGUAGGCGGAAUUCGUGGUGUAGCGGUGAAAUGCUUAGAUAUCACGAAGAACUCCGAUUGCGAAGGCAGCUUACUGGAUUGUAACUGACGCUGAUGCUCGAAAGUGUGGGUAUCAAACAGGAUUAGAUACCCUGGUAGUCCACACAGUAAACGAUGAAUACUCGCUGUUGGCGAUAUACAGUCAGCGGCCA